UGCCUGUGCAGCACCGCAUCGUUAAUGAGCAAGACGCAUGCGAAACGCGCGACCUCUCGCCAUCGUAAUAAGCCCAACAGAAACGGAGAGAGAGCAGAAAAAAAAACAUUUUUCAGUUCGGUGCGUCGAUUCUCUGCCAUGCAGCACGAGCUAAACUCCGCUUUAACCAACCCUCUACAAGUCUCUUACGUGCUGCGAAGCAGCGGCAGGCACGUCGCUACGGCUGUGCGCAGACACAGUCAUCUGAGCACAGCCCCUGCCUCAAGCCCCACCCACCACCCGCCCCGCGGGCGGCCUCACAGCAGCUACCAUCGUGCCGGUCGCCACGUGCUGCAUCCUCCUCGGGGUGGCUCCGGCUCCCCACCACCAGCAGGGCAGUGUGGGGGCCGGGUGUGGGGUACGCUCGAGUCACGCCGACACGCUGCCCAUCACAUGGAUGGCGCAAGCGUGUUCACGGCCGCGGGUCGCACCGACGCAGCGCCGUCCAGGACCUGGCCGCCGGCGUCAGUGGCGAUGCAUCGCUCUGACCUCCCCUACGGCGUCGGCGCUUGACCCUGUCACGACCGGAAGCGGCUCCGCAUUGGGCAGGACUAGAGGGGGUGGGGUGCCGCUCCGCCUCCCCGCAGGGGGAGAGAGUGGGGGCACCGGGUCCCGAGAUGCCACGCACUGUGUGCGGGUAUGUUUGUGUCUACCGGUCAUGAGGGACAUCCGAGAAGUGACAAUAAUGGACGGUCGAGAGCACAACGGUCGUGUGAGUUAUUGCCUCUUCUUCGUUGCUCUGUCGUGGACGAAAUCGGGGUGCCCUUGCGCGGGACGGUGAAGC
rnacentral:misc_RNA from 1 species